rnacentral:rRNA from 1 species
GACGAAGGAUGCAAGCGUUAUCCUGAUUCCUUGGGUUUAAAGGGUGCGUAGGCGGGCAGGUAAGUCCGUGGUGAAAUCUCUGAGCUUAACUCAGAAACUGCCAUGGAUACUAUUUGUCUUGAAUAUUGUGGAGGUAAGCGGAAUAUGUCAUGUAGCGGUGAAAUGCUUAGAUAUGACAUAGAACACCAAUUGCGAAGGCAGCUUACUACACAGUUAUUGACGCUGAGGCACGAAAGCGUGGGGAUCAAACAGG